AAUGUUGAACAUUGUGGUUGUUGGUUCAUGUCAUAUGCAUGAUAAGCUUGACUAAUGAAAGUCUAUGUAGCUAAGAGCUAGGAAUGGAUGUGAUAUGAACGAACAUGCAUACUAACUAUGAUAUGGACGUAAUGACUUGAAAUGAUAGGAAUUCCAAUUAACAUGGACUCAAGAAUGGAAGGCUAACGAAUCAAUGGUAAAUAAAGAAGCUAUGCACAAACUCGGACGCACGAGGUAUUGCACGUAUCUCUACCACUACUAUCGAAGAUAAGCAUGCAUUGAUCGAGCCGCAAAGCAAAGAUUGUACGGGAAGAACGGCCACAUAGUCUGAUUAUGUAUUGUCUUGAAGCGUUACUUUAAUGUGGUUAUUGUUAAUCCCUUUUUUGUAAAUGUUUAUCAUUUGUAUUUGAGCUUUUAAAUAAGUAAUGGGUCUAAAUAAGAAAGAAAAUUUUUGGGCUCA